AUUGAACGCUGGCGGCAUGCUUUACACAUGCAAGUCGAACGGCAGCGGGGGCUUCGGCCUGCCGGCGAGUGGCGAACGGGUGAGUAAUGCAUCGGAACGUGCCCAUGUUGUGGGGGAUAACUACGCGAAAGCGUAGCUAAUACCGCAUAAGCCCUGAGGGGGAAAGCGGGGGAUUCUUCGGAACCUCGUGCGAUUGGAGCGGCCGAUGUCGGAUUAGCUAGUAGGUGAGGUAAAGGCUCACCUAGGCGACGAUCCGUAGCGGGUCUGAGAGGAUGAUCCGCCACACUGGGACUGAGACACGGCCCAGACUCCUACGGGAGGCAGCAGUGGGGAAUUUUGGACAAUGGGCGCAAGCCUGAUCCAGCCAUGCCGCGUGAGUGAAGAAGGCCUUCGGGUUGUAAAGCUCUUUCGGCCGGGAAGAAAUCGGCGACUCUAACAUAGUCGCUGGAUGACGGUACCGGACUAAGAAGCACCGGCUAACUACGUGCCAGCCGCCGCGGUAAAAC
rnacentral:rRNA from 1 species